GCUUUACAAUAAUUUAAUUAAAUUAUAAAUUGUUAGUAUAACUUAAUUUAAUUAUUAUUUGUUUCGUUGGGGCGACGAGAAUAUAAUAAUAUAACUGUUCUUUUAUUAAUAUAACAAGAUUAAUUGUAUAAUUAUUGAUCCUUUAUUAAAGAUUAAAAGAUUAAGUU
rnacentral:rRNA from 1 species